rnacentral:rRNA from 1 species
GUCUACAGCAUGCUACCCUGAACACGCUCAAUCUCGUCUGAUCUUGGAAGCUUAGCAGAGUCAGGCCUGGUUAAUACUUGGAUGGGAGACCACCAAGGAAUACCCAGUGCUAUAGGCA